AUUUGACCCAAAAUAUGCGUAAGAUAAUUUCUAAGAACCAAAAUAAUUUAAAGAAAAUUUGUUAAUCCAUAAAUUUGGAAGAAAAUGACUACAGUAAAAUAUUUUAAAGUUUUUAAAACUAUUUUGAGUAUGACAUCAAGUUUCUCUUCUUAUAUAUCCAUGUCUUACUAUCAUAAUAUCUGUUAGUGUAUAGAUUGUAUUAUAGUCUCUUCCAGAUUUUAAAUACGCUGAGGUCAGGUAAUCAUGCUUUUCUCCUUAUUAUCAUAUGUUAUAAUAAAGGGUCUAUUCUUGUGGACCUAUAAGAAAUAUUUUCCUAAAUAUAGAAAUGCAAUAAUAAUAUCUUAUUAAUAUUUACAUAAUAAACCAAAAAAUUCAAUUUGCUGGUCCUCUGUGUCUAAUUGCUUUAAAAAUGAAUCUCAUGCAGGAGUGGGAGUGACAGUGGCUUUUCACUUUUGGAUGUCACAAAUAUAAAUGAGUACCACUGGCAUUUGAUGGCUGGGGUCACCCUGCCUUGCAUACAUUUAUAAAUUUUUAGGUCUUGCUCUGUUUUGGAAUGUUCUUCCAGACAUUUGUGAAGUAAAAUAUAUGCUCAUAAUAAUAACAGCAGUUAGGUUUUAUCUACUUUUCAUAAACACAUAAUUUUUUUUGGUAUGGUUUUACUUUUCUGAAUUUCCAAGAAAUCCCACUACCAUAGAUGUUGAAGAAAGAUUUUACUCUAUUUUCCUCAGACUUUUCCAAGAGUUGUUAAUUUCCUGGGGGGAAAAAAAUCACCUUUUCUUUUUUAAGGGCUGCACCGGUGGUAUAUGGACUUUCCCAGGCUAGGGGUCGAACUGGAGCUGUAGCCACUGGCCUUCAAUACAGCCACAGAAACACCAGAUCCAAGCCAUGUUUAUGACCUAUAUACCACAGUUCACAGCAACGCCAGAUCCUUAACCCACUGAGUAAGGCCAGGGAUCAAACCACAUCCUCAUGAAUACUAGUCAGAUUUGUUUCUGAUGAGCCACGAUGGGAACUCUGAAAAUCACACUGUCAAUGGCAACACCAUCUGUGGCAUUAAUAUACCACAUAACACACCUAUAAACAAUACUCGUAGCUGUUAUAUUCAGGUAGAUAUCAGAUAUAGGUGCCAACAUCACAGUGCCUCAUUUUGUCUACUUUUGCAAUUAUGUCUCAGCAUUUACACACUGUAAUAUAUUUUAUUAAAAGAACUUUCUCUUUCAUUACUCAUUUAUAUGAUAAUUAGAACAUUAGAUGCAUUAUCUGUGAUUUUAUUUUAGAUAGCAGAAGUGUUGCCAAAUAUUUAUAAUAAAAAGUAAGGCACUGGGUCUGCAAGGAUUGAGAACCACUGAGCUACCAUAAACAGGGUCAAUAUAAAAGAGAGAACUGCCAAUUAUGACAUUAUGGACUGCAAAAAUAUUUCUGUAUUUUGGGAAUACUUAACUUCGGUUUGAUUCAAUUCUAAAUGAUUUCUCUCAUUUCUGUAGUAAUUAAAAGAGUAAAUGCAACUUUUAAACAAAUACAAAAAAGAAUAUAUAUGUAUUUUUCCUUUUUAAUACAAAAAAGGCAUUUCCCUGAGCCUCACAACUCUCAGACUGGCUUCAUGGUCAAUAUCUACCAGAUUUUUAACCUAUGGAUUAUUACAACUUUUUAAAAAUGAAAUGAGCUUUGUGUGGAAAGAAUCAACAAGUGCUGAAAUCCCCAAAUCCUUCUCAAUGGGACUGCUAUUAAGACUGCAUUCCUAGGUUAAUAUGGCAGUUCUUCUGAAGGAGGGCAGCAGGCCAAUUCACUCUGGUCUCAGCUCUUGAGCAUGAAGUCAAUGAGGUGAACCUUCAUGAAAGUGCCAUUUUGUAGAUUUGGUAGAUUUUGCCCACUUAACCUCUAAUAAGAUAAGGCAUAGACCAAGGACUCUCAUAUCUAUUGGGGUUAAUAAUAGGAACAAGGAAACUCUCCUUGUAAUAGACAUUGACCAAAGCACUUUGAAGAUAGUUGGUAACAAAAACCUUAUGGUAAAGGGGCACAUUAAUGGUGGAGUUACUUGAAUACUGCUGAGAAAUCUCAGGAGACAGAGAAGAUUUUGGUCUUGGGCAUGGCUGAGUUCUCCUUCUCUGAUAGAGCUAGAAUUCUAGAUAUUUACCAAGACAAAACUCAGAAAAAUGAGCAAGUUCUGUCUCCUGAAGGGGUAUACAUGGUGACUGGAACUUUCAGAGAUGGGAACUUGGCCCCAAUGUCAAAAUUCACCUAUGGAGGCUUCAACAUGAGACACACUGCAAAAGCUAUAGUAAUCAAAACAGUAUAAUGUUGUCAUAAAAACAUUCACAGAGAUCACACAUGCAAAAGAAUGAAAUGGGACCCCUAUCUUAUACCAUAUGCAAAAAUCAACUCAAAAUGAAUUAAAGGCAGAUUUAAGACCUAAAAAUGGAAAACUCUUAGAGGAAAACAUAGGGAGCAAGAUUCUUGAUGCUGGUCUUGGCAAUGAUUUUUUUUUUAUUUGACACCAAAGGCAAAGGCAACAAAAGCCAAAAAUAAACCAGCAGGACUUCAUUAAAACUAAAAAUCUUCUGUACAGAGAAGGAAACUAGCAACAAAAUGAAUACCUAUAGAAUGGAGAAAAUAUUUACAAGUCAUAUGUCUAAUAAGGGAUUAUUAUUUAAAGUAUAUAAAAUAUACUACUCAAUAGCAAAACCCAAAUAAUUCAAUUUAAAAAUGGGCAGAGGAACUGAAUAGACAUUUUUUCCAAAGGAAACAUACAAAUGGCUAAGAGGUGCGUAAAAAAUUCUCAAUAUCACUAAUUAUCAGGGAAAUGCAACCCAAACCACAAUGAGAUAUUACUUCAUACUGUUAGAAUGGCUAUUACUCAAAAAAAUGAGAUAACAAAUGUUAAGCAUGUGGAGAAAAGAGAAACCUUGUGCACUGUUAAUGGAAAUAUAAACACGUAUAUCCACUGUGGAAAACAGUAUGAAGUUUCCUCAAAGAUUAAAAAGAGUUCCUGGCAUGACACAAUGGGUUAAGAAUCAAACUGCAGUGGCUCAGGUCACUUCAGAGGUGUGGGUUUGAUCCCUGACCACUGUAGUGGGUUAAAGGAUCUGGCUUUGCCAAAGCUGUGGCUUAGGCCCAGUUGUGGUUUGGAUUCAAUCCCUAGCCCAAGAACCUCCUUGUGCCAUAGGUACAGCCAUAAAAUUAAAAAAAAAUUAAAUUAAAAAUAGAACUAUCAUAUGAUACAGCAAUCCAAUUUCUGGAUAUAUAUCCAAAAGAAACAGAAGACACGAUCUCAAAGAGAUAGCUGCACUUCCAUGUUCAUUGUAGCAUUAUUGAAGGAUAGCCAAGACAUGAAAUAAUUUAAGCAUCCAUCAAUAGAGUAAUAAAGAUUAUCACAUACAAAUAUACACAGUAUUCCACACACAGUAUGUAGAAUCUAAAAAAAAAUCAAAGUUAGAGAUGUAAGGGCUGGGAUGGUGGGAGAAAGCAGGAGAUGUUGGUCAAAGGACAUACAUUUGCAGUUAUGUGAGUAUGAAUAAGUUUAGAGACCCAUUGUGAGGCAUGAUGAUUAUUUUUACUACUGUGCUGAACAGUGGGAAUAUGCUGAAUGUAAAUUUCAGGUACAAUUGUCAUACACCAAAAAUAGUAACCAUGUGAAGAGAUAAUACAUAAACUAGCUCAACUGCAGUCAUCAUUUCACUAUGUAUUUGUAUAUCAAAUUUCAUGUUAUACACCUUAUAUUUAGCUUUUAUCUAAAAAAAAUCUUUUAACUAUACCAUUAGCAUCUAAUUUCUGUCAUACUAAAAAUAUCAACACAAAAGUUUACAAAAGGCAAAAGCAAAUGUAUUCUUUAACACUAGAUGGCAGCCCAAAGUAACAAAUUGUAUCAGCUUUUCAAAGCUUUGUUAUUUGAGUUUUAAAUUUAUUUUAAAAAGUGGGAGGGGGAAUGAAAUAAUGACAUUUUAGGAUUUUCUAAACUCUGCAUAGAUUCUCAGGGGUUUUUUUCCCUAGAAGGAAUAGUUUACAGUAACUCUGUUUUCCUAUGGGAAAUGGACUGAGAAGAUAUUAAAAUAUUAAGUCUAUACUUAAAAGAGCAAAAAUAAUUCUGAAAGCAAUUUUUUUUGGCUUAGCUCAUAUUUCGACAUCCUCACGCUUUAUUACAAUAAUAGUUUGCGGCAACUAAUUUUUGAAAUUAGAUUAGGUUGAUCCUUGCAAAUAAUUUGUACACAGUUGUUUUUAUAGAGGAUGAGAUUUAGAUGACCUAUUAUGUUUUUAAUAAGUGCAAUUAUAACAUUUGCAUGCCUUAACACAGGAUGUCAGGACACUUCUCUACAGGCAAAAUCCUGCAAAGGCUGGAGUAUACGGGGAACAAGUCAGUACCCACUCAGGGCUUCCUCUUCAAUGACAGCCUUUGAUUAGCCCUGGGAAAAUUUUAUUCUUCUGACUUGUAAACAGUAUGAAAUAUUUCUCUAAGUACUAUGCUAUACAAUUUAUGAUUGCUGAAAACUGUAUCAGCCCCCACCCCCAACUGCCCCCCCCCAAAAAAAAUAGGAAAGAGAAACCGAGUUAAAAUUUAUUCUCUCUUCCACAAGGUUGAAUGUGUGGUGUCCACUGGGUAUCAAAGCGAAAGAAGUGUUCAUGAGGAUUACGAAUGUAGAAAACUUGGUGGUGGUGGUGGUGGUUUUUAUCAUUCUCAGGCUUUCAGAAAAAUUACAAAUAGAACACAAAUAACUUCUUUUUCUGAACCAUAUCAGGGUGACUUGCUUGCCUGAUGCCCUAUCAUUACCUAAUAUUUUAGUCUGAAUUUCCCACAAACAAAACCUGCAUCUUCUACAAGUCAUUAUACAGCCAUCAAAAUAAAGAAAUUAAUGUUGAUUCAUGGCCAUCACCUAAUCCACAGACCCCAUUUAAUUGUCAGAUUUCUUCAGUCUCCUUCACUCUGGAGCAGUUCUUCAGUCCUUCCUUAUCCUCCA
rnacentral:lncRNA from 1 species